rnacentral:rRNA from 1 species
AGGGUUUGAUUAUGGCUCAGGACGAACGCUGGCGGUGCGCCUUAUGCAUGCAAGUCGAGCGAAGCUUUUCAGUAGUUUACUACAGAAAAUGACUGAGCGGCGAACGGGUGAGUAACGCGUGAGCAAUCUACCUUAGUUACAGGGAUAGCCCGAGGAAACUCGGAUUAAUACCUGAUAUUCUUUACAUUUCGCAUGAAAUUAAAAGGAAAGGUCAGCCGAACUAAGAUGAGCUCGCGUUCUAUCAGCUAGUUGGUAAGAUAAAAGCUUACCAAGGCUACGACGGAUAGCUGGUCUGAGAGGACGAUCAGCCACACUGGGACUGAGACACGGCCCAGACUCCUACGGGAGGCUGCAGCAGGGAAUAUUGCGCAAUGAGCGAAAGCUUGACGCAGCGACACCGCGUGUGGGAUGACGGAUCUAGGUUUGUAAACCACUUUCAGGAGGGAAGAAAAUGACGGUACCUCCACAAGAAGCCCCGGCCAACUACGUGCCAGCAGCCGCGGUAAUAC